UAUUUCUUGAUGGUAAGUAAUUUCUGCCCGGUGAGAUAUUUAACGGCCGCGGUACCCUGACCGUGCAAAGGUAGCAUAAUCACUUGCCUUUUAAUUGAGGGCUGGUAUGAAUGGAAAAACAAGUGUGUGACUGUCUCCUCGUCUAAAGUUGGAAUUUCUUGUUCGUGUGAAGAAACCCGGUGGUCGCAGAGGGACAAGAAGACCCUGUCGAGCUUUACUAGCUUACCUUCUUGCUUUGGUUAUUUAUAAAGAGGGCUGGUCUUUGGCUAGUUUGGUUGGGGCAACCAGAAAAGAGAAAAUCUUUUCUUUAUAACAAAAUGGCCGCAUUGAAAGUUGAUCCAGUUUAAUUAUGGAAGAAACAAGUUACCGCAGGGAUAACAGCGUUAUUCUCUUGAAGAGCUCUAAUCGAAAAGAGAGUUUGCGACCUCGAUGUUGACUUAUUAUCUCCUGCUGGGUGCAGUAGCUUAGAGGGUUGGUCUGUUCGACCAUUAAAAUAAUACGUGAGUUGAGUUCAGAUCGGCGUG
rnacentral:rRNA from 1 species